CCACCCACGGAGUAGUGUGUUUUAUUUGAAGCCACGCGAAGAACCUUACCAGGUCGUGUCCUCCUACAGAGUCAGUAAAAGAGAAUUAGGUGCCCUUUGGGGAACACUGAGACAGGUGGUGCAUGGUUGUCGUCAGCUCGUGUCGUGAGAUGUUGGGUUAAGUCCCGCAACGAGCGCAACCCUUAUCAUUAGUGCUACGCAAGA
rnacentral:rRNA from 1 species